CUUCUCGCAGUGGAGCUGAGACACAGGCGGCGGGAUAUCAGUGGAAGCCUGCGAGGUGGGGCGGAUCCCUCAAACUGCACAGACUUAAAAGCUGAGGAGGUGCUGCAGGACGAGGCGGAGAUCAGACCUGAAGCUCGGGGAGGAGGCAGAGCCGCGAGCUUCUCUGCAGUGCCGAACAGCUGCUGCUGCUGCAGGAUCAUCACCGCUCCUCGACGCCGGUCCUCACCUGGGACAACAGCCGGAAAAGUAUCUCGAGGAGUGAAUUCCCCAAACGAACGAAUGAAGGUAUUGAAAGUCUUUCAGAGAAUCAACAACUAGGGAUUCAAUCCGAGAACGUCUGCUGAAGCACCGAAAUGGGGAUUAUUUGCAGCCGGCGAGCUGUUAUAUUGAUCUCUGGAACAUCUACAGCCACUUGACUGAGAUUUAUACUUCACUUUGUAAAUCCCCAUUAAGGGCCCUCCGGGGGCUGCUGUUGGAUGAAACCAUAUUGACAAAUGAAGUGAAGACUGAUCUGAAGCUAUUGUACUAUUAGCUUCUCGUGAAAUCAAGCGAGUGUGUGUGGGAGAAAGCGAGAGGGGCCCAUAAGUCUAAUUAAGCCCCACUGAGCGUGCUGCUCUGCUGACUGGAGAACUUGUUCAUUUGUUUCAUUUCUUCAUCAUUUUCCCUCUGAAACCUUUUCUUGGCCCUGUGGCUUGUGGGAAACUAUAUCCCAAUGUGAUCCCCCUUUAAAAAAAACAACAAUCCACACUCUCUAACCGAAAUGACCCAGCAGGGUUUCGCCGUUCCUCACAUCUUCUGACAAACAAAAUAUAACUUGCACACGGCACGAUUUCAACCUCUGAAACACUCCCCGACUUCCGAGAUGAGCGACCCAAACUACUGGGCUGCGGAUUACAAUCCCUCCUCCACUGCUCCGGCUGCGUUCCCCAGGGGCUCCACGGUGCUGCAGCCCCUCCCCGGGCACCCCGAGCAGGGAACCGCCCUGUGCUUCGUGGGCCUUCUCGUGCUGUUCCUGCUCUUUCUCAUCGUUCGCUGCGUCCGGAUCUUGUUGGACCCGUACAGCAGCAUACCAGCCUCAUCGUGGACGGAUCACAAGGAGGGACUGGACAGGGGACAAUUUGAUUAUGCACUGGUGUGAAGACGUGUGGGGGGGAAUGGAAGAUGAAGAGAGGGAUGAAGGUGGGGAUAUGUUCAGGGAUAUGCCGUGGGUUCGGUGUCAUGCAACAAGGUUCUAUAGUCACAAAGUUUCAGCUCCAUAAAAUGAAAGAAAAUGCAUUUGGUUUGUCGUUGGUUGGGGCAACAUGCACACGGACCAUCAAACGGCAUCUGUGUAAGGAUUCAAUUCAGAGAGAAAAGGAGAAUCCGUUAUAAUUUGCUGGUAAUUGAUGUAAUGUGACUCUUGUUGUUACUCUGCAGCUUCCAGAGUGACAAAUUGCAGGACGACAGCGAUCAGUAUCACAGCAUUACAUUAUGACUCCUGUUUGUUUGUUUCGUUUCCCAGAGCUGAAUUAUAAAUAGAGAGCAGCGCUGCUGCAAGAGAGGUACUGAUUGAAUAAAAGUGAAAUGGAAUGAGUUUAAACAUGGAAGUCAUUCAGACAGAACUGUGUUACAGCCGAUUUACAGCAAGAUUGUUAACUUCAUACAUCGAUUUGCUGUUAAAGUAUAAGAGUGUAUCUGUCUUUUUUUUUCCUUAAAUCUAGCUGAAUAAUUUAGAAGAUGUCAGUUUCUCUGGAACAGGGAACCUUUUUUAUGGGAUCCGUGCAUUUGUACGACCUCUAACAUGAUCCUCAGGGAUAACGAUUUCUAAUUAACCUCAGGCUCGAUAUCAUCAGAGGAAACCACCCCCUGAAAUUGAGCUACAGCUGUUAUUAUAUUUCAUUUCUCAAUUUUCUUAAAGAUUAACUGUGCACUAAAGCUGAUGUUUAUAAUACAUUCCAGUUAAUACUAAUUAUUUUAUUUGGAGUUUUGCUAUUCCAUGCCGCCGUCCUCUUAAGAGGCUUAUGAGGCUCAGUGCAGAGUCACACUGACUGGAUACGACUCAUAUAAAGUUAGGAUUAUGAAAUGCAUGUGCACCAAUUUACUUCCUCUAAUCCUUUUUGCCUUUAGACCCAGUCCAGCGCACAAGACAAAUCUGGUCAACAGUGCCUGCAGGAAUAAGAGAAGAGCUUCAAAUUAUUUCAUACUAACUAAAUACUGCUUACUUUGACACUUCUAUGGUUUAAAGUCCUCUAUAUAAAUGAACUUAACCAUCAAUAGUUCUUGGGAACUGUUCUACAGUUGUUUGGUUUCAUUAAUUAUGACCACAGGAAUAACGCUUUGCUGGUAAAAUGAAAUUGAUAUUUUCCUGAUGUUUCCUAAAAUUAGAAUUCUGCUUUCAAUCAAAUAAAAAAGCUUUGAUUUG
ensembl:lncRNA